UCUUGGGUCAUUUAGAGGAAGUAAAAGUCGUAACAAGGUUUCCGUAGGUGAACCUGCGGAAGGAUCAUUACCUUUCAAUGCAGCAGAAUUGGGAUGGUUGAGUAUCUCGCCUCUCAGUUCUGCCUGUAUUCUACCCUUGUUUGUCAUAUACUAUUAUUUCCUCGGCAGGCUUGCCUGCCCGAGUGAAACCAUUUAUAACCUUUUUAAUUUUCAAUCAGCGUCUGAAAAAAUUAAUAAUUACAACUUUCAACAACGGAUCUCUUGGUUCUGGCAUCGAUGAAGAACGCAGCGAAAUGCGAUAAGUACUGUGAAUUGCAGAAUUCAGUGAAUCAUCGAAUCUUUGAACGCACAUUGCGCCCCUUGGUAUUCCAUGGGGCAUGCCUGUUCGAGCGUCAUUUGUACCUUCAAGCUUUGCUUGGUGUUGGGUGUUUGUCCCGAGGGACUCGCCUUAAAGUAAUUGGCAGCCAGUGUUUGGUUUUGAAGCGCAGCACAAGUCGCGAUUCAAGGCUACACGUCUGGUCAAAGGAGAGGAACUCUGCCGACUGAAACCUUUAUUUUUCUAGGUUGACCUCGGAUCAGGUAGGGAUACCCGCUGAACUUAAGCAUAUCAAUAAGCGGAGGAA
rnacentral:rRNA from 1 species